ncrna:unclassified sequences Mu-gpT-DE RNA
CCCUGACAAACACGUGGUGUGUUUGACUAACCCAGACAGGAGAUUGACAUG